ACACCCCAAAAACGGGUUUAUUAAUUAUAAUAAAGUAACCGAAAAUAAACGGGUAAAAUAUGGUAGUGAUAAAAAUAAACCCAGUAAAUAUUAGGAUCUAAAUAAGUAAGCCUAAUAUUAACUAAAGAGUGAAUCAAAGCUUUGGAGGAAAUAAAGCUUAUAAAAGACCCGGGGUAACGGGGUGUAUGUAACACCCUAAAACAUAAAUCCUUUUAUUAUAAAUCCGAGUUUAAUAAUUGUAACAUCCCUAUUUUCAUCAUAAAUAAAAACUGACAAAACUUCCUAACUAUGUAUUUUAUCUAUGAUAAAUAAAACAAUACUGUUGUAGCAUAUAAGGUUUCAAUUAAAAACCUUAUUUAGAAACUUAGUAGAGAGUAUUUUGUAAAUGAUCAAGAAGGAGGGGUGAAUGUGGAAAUAUGAGUUAUAGUUAACUAAAUAAGUCAAGGAGGAAAAGAAAUCUCCAGAACGUUGAUACGUGCAGUGAGGUAUAUGACGAUGGAGAAAAAGAGACCAAGAGAAAGUGAUUUCCAACUUGAAAUCUGGAAAUUCAAAGUGUAAAUCUUGUUAAUGCAAGUUUAUAAUCUGAUUUCUAGCAUCAUCAUCUCUUUUUUUUGAAUUUAGAAGAUUAGCUAAAAUCCAACAAGGAACGCAAGGUGGAAGCUUUGGGCAAACAAGGUAAGUGAUUUCUGUAAUCACUUCUUAUUUUAUUUAAGUAAAGUAGCGUUAGUUGAUUAAGCAUGAUGAGGUUUGAAGUUUCAUAUGGUUUUGUUCGUAUGAAAUUGGUAAUUUUAGCUUAGUAGACCGAAUGGGACAAUAUAAAGUUGUAAUGAUAUGACGAAUAAUGUCUAUGUAAUGGCUACGGUAUGUAACCGGGUAAUGGGUAAAAUUGCACAUAAGUGCACCAACCGAGAAUGGGGACUUAGGUUAAUGGGUCAAAGUGAAGGUAUACUUUAGCACGGAACGUUUGUACAAGCAAUGUCGAUAGUAUUUCAUGUGCCCGGUUAGUGUAAGGUGUUAUAACAUUAACAUUAUGUGAGCCUUAAGUGUAAACAUAUGAGUUGUUGAUAAAUGCAUGACGGGUCGAAUAAUUCGUAAUGAAUAAUAAGCCGAAAAUGUAUAAGUUAAGAAUUUCCUUAACCCGGAUGUUGGAUUUUAAGUUCACAUAAUAGAAUGUUAGUUUACAAUCAUGCAGGAAGAAACGGGAGGUUAAUCGGGUAAACGGUUUAAAAGCUAUGCAAGUUUUUGUGCGUGCGAACGACAAAACAACACAGCAGAAAAAUGGCAAAACUAGAGGCCGUCGCCGACGCCCCUAUGGGCUGUCGCCGACGCCUUGUGCAUUUUCAGUUUUCUCCGACGCCUAAUUAUCCUGUCUACGGAGGUUUCUGGCUACGCGAAAAACUAAUAGCCGUCGCCGACGCCCUAUAGGGCCGUCGCCGACGGCCUCCACAUGUUUUAAAUGCUGAAAUUCGUUAAUUAAGUUAUUUUGUGUACCGUAAGCUUCGGUAUAUUAACCGUGGUCUACGACGAGCCUCCCAAACAUAAUUUUGAAUGUUUCCUUGAUGUUUUUGGAUCAUAAAUCCAAGUCUAAGCACUCCAUAAUUAAUGUACGAGUAUGAUAAGUGAAUGCGAAUAAGUUAAAUCAAGAAUUGAAUGUAAAUAAGUAUGUGUAGACAUGAUUAUGUAAGCAUUUAGUUAUGUAUAUAGAUAAGUAGAUGUGUAGAUAUGUAGGUGCGUAUGAUUAGACGUAUGAAUAUACGAAUGCACGAAGUAGGAUUUAUCGCCUAUGAAAAGAAUGGGACAGGUAUGCAUGUAUACAUGGUUUCAAUACGUUUGAGUAUGGACGUUACUAAUGAUGUGCUUGAGAUUGGAAUGUAAUGCAGGAAUGAGAACGUCAGACUCUUGUAGAAUUGAAGUCGAACCUGGAAGCCGAACUCGAAACAAAGGAAUCCGAGAGGAUAGUCGAAUGAAUUAAAGUUUAUGUUGCUGAAUGUUAUAUGAUUUUUAAUUGUACCAGAUUAUUGUUGUAUGAUGUUGUCAAUGACUAAUGGUUAAGUUGUAUGUGAUGUCCACAGGUACUACACGGAUUUCUUCUACCACUAUCGAAGAUAAGCGGGCAUAGAUCGAGUCGAAUAACAAGGAUUGUACGGAAAGAACGGUUACGUAGUCUUAAUUUUGUAACGCAUUAAUUUGUAAAAAGGGAAGUGAAUUUUGUAAGCUUCUUCUUGAAUGUGUGUUAUUUUAAGAUCGUAAAGGAAUUUUUAAAGCUAUUUUUCCGCUGCGUUAUCUUUAAGUUCUUACACGAUGAUCUUACAGGGAAUCGUUCUUAUUACGAACGGGUCAUGCCCGAAUUUUUCUUAAAUAAUAGUAUGGUAAUAUUACUUUUCGGAUUAAGAAUUAUGGGCGUUACAAGUUGGUAUCAGAGCCAUGGUUUGAGGGAAAUCAAGUAUGAGGAGGCAAAUACUUGAACUCAAACCUGUGUGCUCUUGUGACAAGGAACCCGUACAAUCCAAGACUCGAUCAAGAUCUAAAGGUAGAAGCAAAUGUAAGUAUGAAUUUAAGUAUGUUUAUGAAGAAACUAACAUUAUGUUGUGUGUAAGAUAAGCAUAGUUGUUUGGAUGAGGAUGAUUCACGACUGCGGUCUCCGAUCGACACCAAGGCACGCAGUAAGAUAAAUUGGUUCCAGGUACGUAGAUUCAAUAUAUGUAAGUACAUGUAAUGGUAAAACCUAUCAACAGAAGAAGAAUUUUAAAUGAAAGAUAAUAAUGGGAUAGUAAUGAAGUUUUGAAAAUGCUACACGUGCCGAAACUUAAUUCUUCGGACAUAAGGUGGCGAUUACACGAAGACACGAAACUAGUAUGUGGAUCGUGUACCUGGCCAGUACACAAGAAACAUAUGACGUUCGUGAGACCGUGAUAAUUGUUACAGGUAUGUCCGCUAGAACUAGGUAGUAGGUGGACGUGGGGGUGAAGAGGAGUGUAAGACUUUCAGGAAUGAAAGCAUGAAUGAUGUGCUAGAAUCCGCGAGAUGGAUUCGAAGCAUGAAAGGAAUGAAAGCAUGAAUGAUGUGCUAGAAUCCGCGAGACGGAUUCGAAGCAUGAAAGGAAUGAAAGCAUGAAUGAUGUGCUAGAAUCCGCGAGACGGAUUCGAAGCAUGAAAGGAAUGAAAGCAUGAAUGAUGUGCUAGAAUCCACGAGACGUAUUCGAAGCAUGAAAGGAAUGAAAGCAUGAAUGAUGUGCUAGAAUCCGCGAGACGGAUUCGAAGCAUGAAAGGAAUGAAAGCAUGAAUGAUAUGUUAGAAACCGCGAGACGGAUUCAAAGCAUAGAAGGGAAUGAAUUAUAAGAAUGAAAGGUUUAAAUUCGUAAGUAAUUACGUACCAAACAAGUAAAUAUUCUUUAGAAAGUGGAUAUUACUUAAGUUAUGUUUUGAACUUCUAUCUAUAUAAAUAUUUAUGUGAAUACGUUGUAUGCAAGAUGGUUGAGAUGUAUAAAUGAGUCAUACGGGUCAAAUGGGGAUUGCCAUUGAACCCGAUAUUUAAUGUUUUAAAUUGUCAAGUCUUAUAAUUGUAGGCGAACAUAAUGCAUGAUCAUCCAAUGCCACAGAUUGGAAAGAAAUAACCAUCGUAAGUUAUGGAUAACCAGUCAAAGGUUUCGAUUUGCGCAAGGUAUGUACAAAUUUAUGCUUUCUUUUGAGUAGGGGCUUAUAGCUCGACUAGAGAGGGAUGUGCCAGAAAUGGGUAGUUGGUAGACAUAUGGUCAGAAUGUAGUUUACAAUUGGAUUUCCAAACAAGUUAAACAAAGUAGGUGAUAGUUGCUAAGCAGGUAUUAGUAAAAUUAGCAUGAAGUAUUUGAUUUACUAUGUAGGUAAAGCCAAUGUAAGCUAUUGUAGUAGCAAGAAACCUUAGCUGAAAGAAAUGAGCUGUGAGCAAGUUACAUGAAAGGUAUAUUACUAAAUGACUCUUGUGGGUCAAAAUGAAUGACGGGCUACGACCCGAACAAAAACUUAAGUAUGGACGGGAAGGGUAAGUUUUGCAAGAAGAACGGAAAGGAUGUAUUAAAGUACUUGUAUUUAAGCAUGAAUGGAAAGAAAUACAAUCGUGUAUUUCAUUACAUCCAUGAUAUUAAGAAACGUUAGUUAGACCUUGGAAAGCCAACUGUAAUGGGUCGGUGAAAUAAUUAACAAAACGAAGGAAUUGUGGGUGUUUAUAACACUAAACAGAAUAAAUUGGAAAGAAUGUAAUAAUGAUAAGUACCAACGGAAAAUGCUAACCUUGAUGCUAGGUUUGUUGGCCAUGUUCAUUUAAACAAGAUAUUGUUAGAAGGAAGCCCAUGAGCGGAAGCCAUUCAUGAAAGGAAGGGAAUCGAACCGGCCUUGACACGGAUUCAUUCAGAAGCGGGCCAAUCCGGUUUGCAGAUCGUUAAGUUAUACAAUGAAGGUGAGAUUAGUAAAAUGUUUAAUUCUAGAUUGAAAGGUAGGAAUCUGUGAAUUAUUUGUACAUAUGAAUGAAAUGAAGGGUAGGACAAAUAUAGUAUAGUAUGAAAUAACCGACUAGAAAUGGUCAUCUUUAGAAAGUAUUUAUGUCAAUAAGAGAAAGAUUUAAGGACCCUGAAUGAAAACUUGGAACUAGUUGAUUAAUGCUCAUAUGUUGCUCUUUGCACGACAUGCCGGUUUAGUAUAAGGAAGUAAUGUGAAAGAUUAAAUAUAAGGUUAGACAUAAGGUUGUAAGUAGUUCAAGUGGCGGUAGAAAAGUAGAUUAAUGAUUGAUCCUCAUAACAAGUACGGAUAAUGAGAUUUAAAAAUGAUAGUUAGGUUAGAAUGUUGACGCUUGGAUGUCUACGGUAAUGCGUACUAUCAUACGCUCACUUCACAUAAGGACAUGAAGGAACCUAGAAAGGAUGUUAGUUCAAAUUAUGGAAUAUGGGAUGUGUCAUAAACGUCAAUUCCUCACAACAUACUUAUGUAAGUCGUCCAAUGUAACCUGAAUGAAUAAACGAACGAAGAGUAAGACUAGACGGGUUAUAGAAGGAAUGAAAGAGGUUUCGGGGACGAAACCUUCUUUAAGGGGGGUAGACUUGUAACACCCCAAAAACGGGUUUAUUAAUUAUAAUAAAGUAACCGAAAAUAAACGGGUAAAAUAUGGUAGUGAUAAAAAUAAACCCAGUAAAUAUUAGGAUCUAAAUAAGUAAGCCUAAUAUUAACUAAAGAGUGAAUCAAAGCUUUGGAGGAAAUAAAGCUUAUAAAAGACCCGGGGUAACGGGGUGUAUGUAACACCCUAAAACAUAAAUCCUUUUAUUAUAAAUCCGAGUUUAAUAAUUGUAACAUCCCUAUUUUCAUCAUAAAUAAAAACUGACAAAACUUCCUAACUAUGUAUUUUAUCUAUGAUAAAUAAAACAAUACUGUUGUAGCAUAUAAGGUUUCAAUUAAAAACCUUAUUUAGAAACUUAGUAGAGAGUAUUUUGUAAAUGAUCAAGAAGGAGGGGUGAAUGUGGAAAUAUGAGUUAUAGUUAACUAAAUAAGUCAAGGAGGAAAAGAAAUCUCCAGAACGUUGAUACGUGCAGUGAGGUAUAUGACGAUGGAGAAAAAGAGACCAAGAGAAAGUGAUUUCCAACUUGAAAUCUGGAAAUUCAAAGUGUAAAUCUUGUUAAUGCAAGUUUAUAAUCUGAUUUCUAGCAUCAUCAUCUCUUUUUUUUGAAUUUAGAAGAUUAGCUAAAAUCCAACAAGGAACGCAAGGUGGAAGCUUUGGGCAAACAAGGUAAGUGAUUUCUGUAAUCACUUCUUAUUUUAUUUAAGUAAAGUAGCGUUAGUUGAUUAAGCAUGAUGAGGUUUGAAGUUUCAUAUGGUUUUGUUCGUAUGAAAUUGGUAAUUUUAGCUUAGUAGACCGAAUGGGACAAUAUAAAGUUGUAAUGAUAUGACGAAUAAUGUCUAUGUAAUGGCUACGGUAUGUAACCGGGUAAUGGGUAAAAUUGCACAUAAGUGCACCAACCGAGAAUGGGGACUUAGGUUAAUGGGUCAAAGUGAAGGUAUACUUUAGCACGGAACGUUUGUACAAGCAAUGUCGAUAGUAUUUCAUGUGCCCGGUUAGUGUAAGGUGUUAUAACAUUAACAUUAUGUGAGCCUUAAGUGUAAACAUAUGAGUUGUUGAUAAAUGCAUGACGGGUCGAAUAAUUCGUAAUGAAUAAUAAGCCGAAAAUGUAUAAGUUAAGAAUUUCCUUAACCCGGAUGUUGGAUUUUAAGUUCACAUAAUAGAAUGUUAGUUUACAAUCAUGCAGGAAGAAACGGGAGGUUAAUCGGGUAAACGGUUUAAAAGCUAUGCAAGUUUUUGUGCGUGCGAACGACAAAACAACACAGCAGAAAAAUGGCAAAACUAGAGGCCGUCGCCGACGCCCCUAUGGGCUGUCGCCGACGCCUUGUGCAUUUUCAGUUUUCUCCGACGCCUAAUUAUCCUGUCUACGGAGGUUUCUGGCUACGCGAAAAACUAAUAGCCGUCGCCGACGCCCUAUAGGGCCGUCGCCGACGGCCUCCACAUGUUUUAAAUGCUGAAAUUCGUUAAUUAAGUUAUUUUGUGUACCGUAAGCUUCGGUAUAUUAACCGUGGUCUACGACGAGCCUCCCAAACAUAAUUUUGAAUGUUUCCUUGAUGUUUUUGGAUCAUAAAUCCAAGUCUAAGCACUCCAUAAUUAAUGUACGAGUAUGAUAAGUGAAUGCGAAUAAGUUAAAUCAAGAAUUGAAUGUAAAUAAGUAUGUGUAGACAUGAUUAUGUAAGCAUUUAGUUAUGUAUAUAGAUAAGUAGAUGUGUAGAUAUGUAGGUGCGUAUGAUUAGACGUAUGAAUAUACGAAUGCACGAAGUAGGAUUUAUCGCCUAUGAAAAGAAUGGGACAGGUAUGCAUGUAUACAUGGUUUCAAUACGUUUGAGUAUGGACGUUACUAAUGAUGUGCUUGAGAUUGGAAUGUAAUGCAGGAAUGAGAACGUCAGACUCUUGUAGAAUUGAAGUCGAACCUGGAAGCCGAACUCGAAACAAAGGAAUCCGAGAGGAUAGUCGAAUGAAUUAAAGUUUAUGUUGCUGAAUGUUAUAUGAUUUUUAAUUGUACCAGAUUAUUGUUGUAUGAUGUUGUCAAUGACUAAUGGUUAAGUUGUAUGUGAUGUCCACAGGUACUACACGGAUUUCUUCUACCACUAUCGAAGAUAAGCGGGCAUAGAUCGAGUCGAAUAACAAGGAUUGUACGGAAAGAACGGUUACGUAGUCUUAAUUUUGUAACGCAUUAAUUUGUAAAAAGGGAAGUGAAUUUUGUAAGCUUCUUCUUGAAUGUGUGUUAUUUUAAGAUCGUAAAGGAAUUUUUAAAGCUAUUUUUCCGCUGCGUUAUCUUUAAGUUCUUACACGAUGAUCUUACAGGGAAUCGUUCUUAUUACGAACGGGUCAUGCCCGAAUUUUUCUUAAAUAAUAGUAUGGUAAUAUUACUUUUCGGAUUAAGAAAUAUGGGCGUUACAGCGCUGCGCCCCGUGAGCUGCGCAUAAACCAGCUCUCAACAAUGCUGGUAGGGACUUCCAUCGUGGCAAAUGCCAUUUUGGAAGAUUAUAAGGUGCUGGGCCGCCGCGAGGAAGAAACUGCUCGCAUGCGGGCCGAGGCGGAGAAGUUGGUUGAGGCUGCUCGUGCGGGUGCGGAGCAGCUCGAGAAGGAUAGAGCUGCUUUUGAGAAGCAGAAACAGACUUCUGAAUGGGCUGCCGCUGCCCAGCUGAAACAGGAGCUGACAAAUGCCAAGGCAGCGAACGCUA